AAGAAUGGGUCCAAAACAACUGAUACUAUUGGUUCUAGUUUUGAACCUUGUCAUAAAUGUGGUCUGUGUUGAAAAAAUUAUUCCGGAAUACGUUUACGAAUUUGGUAAGAAAGGCCGUGGAAUAAAAAUAUAUGAUAGUCAUAGUUGGAUUGGGUGGCUUCGAUUUAAUACUCAAGUCACUAUACCUACUCCACCAAACACUCAAGUAAGCUACGUCAAAGUUACAGUGAAAGCAAUUAACCCUCCCAAAGUCGACUACGAUGACAAAACCAGAACCAUCAGUAUAAAAUACUCGCUGGUUGAGUUUUCUGGCAGUUCGUACAAAAUUUAUGCUGAAGGUAUAAAGUUAUAUUAGAAAUAUAUUAAAGGUAUUGUUUAUCCAGAAUUUUAAGAUAAUGCGGAAUUUCUCUUUAUUGUAUCUGAAAUUUUAUAAAUUGUUUCGGUAAGUAAUAAAUCAGAAGUAAAAGAA